rnacentral:lncRNA from 1 species
UGAGAGUUUCGCCUCAGGCACAAGCAUUUUCGCCCCAGGCACAGAAGUUUCGCCUGAGGCACCAACAUUUUCGCCCCAGGCGAACAGGCAAACAGAGAGGCACUUUUCUGGUGAAAUUUUCGCCUCAGGCACAGGAAUUUUCGCCUCAGGCGAAAUAGCAACAGAGAGGUGUUUUUCAACUGGGACUUUUCGCCUCAGGCACAGGAAUUUUCGCCUGGGGCGAAAAAGAAACAGAAUAUUAGCAGUUUUCUUCAUUUUUCAGCUACUUUCAUCCUUUGCAAAUAUCUUCAAACUAGUGCAUUAUUCUUCCAUGAAAUGAGUUACAAUUCUUCUAAAAAACACUUGAAAUUUGUCUUAUUUUCAUGUAAUGACGCAUGUCAUCACAACUUAAGGAAUACAAACAUUCAGCCACUGUCAUAUUGCUGAAAGUCUGAAACAUUCAUCCAGUUUGUUCCUUGUUGGGACUUUGUUCCUAGUUGGGACUGCAAUUAACUAAUUUUAACUGUGAUCUGUGAAUGUAUCAAUAUUACUAAACUCUAAUGGUUGUGGUUGAUUAAGCAGUAACAAGACAAAAAAUAGUACUUAUACAAAUUAAUUACUGUGAUUACUACUGGUCUACUGCAAUUAUUAAAUAACUAGUAAUUAAAAAUAUGCUAUAUAUUUUGGGUCAUGCUAACCGGUGCCCCCGGGGCACUGGUUAAGGAAACCAAAAAAGGAAAUUUUAAAAUUGAAAAUAACACUUUUUAGACUUUCGAGGCGUUGACUGCACAAAC